AUUGAACGCUGGCGGCAGGCCUAACACAUGCAAGUCGAACGAGUGGCGGACGGGUGCGUAAUGUCUUGGAAACUGCCUGCUGGAGGGGUAUAACUACUGGAAACGGUCGCUAAUACCUCAUACCCUCAGAUUUGCCCAGAUGGGAGUAGCUAGUUGGUGGGGUAACAGCUCACCAAGGCGACGAUCCCUAGCUGGUCUGAGAGGAUGACCAGCGACACUGGAACGGAGAAACGGUCAAGAGUCCUACGGGAGGCAGCAGUGGGGAAUAUUGCACAAUGGGCGAAAGACUGAUGCAGCCAUGCAGCGUGUAUGAAGAAGGCCUUCGGGUUGUAAAGUACUUUCAGCGGGGAGGCGUUACCCGCAGAAGAAGCACCGGCUAACUCCGUGCCAGCAGCCGCGGUAAUAC
rnacentral:rRNA from 1 species